UACAGAGGUCUCAACCGUUGUUCGGAUUCAUUGGGCGUAAAGGGUGCGUAGGCGGCGCGGUAAGUCGGGUGUGAAAUCUCGGAGCUUAACUCCGAAACUGCAUUCGAUACUGCCGUGCUUGAGGACUGGAGAGGAGACUGGAAUUUACGGUGUAGCGGUGAAAUGCGUAGAUAUCGUAAGGAAGACCAGUGGCGAAGGCGGGUCUCUGGACAGUUACUGACGCUGAGGCACGAAGGCCAGGGGAGCAAACGGG
rnacentral:rRNA from 1 species